CCCGCGGGGAAACGCGCUCUUAGACCAUGGCGACCCAGGCGAAGCGUCCACGGGUGAGUGGCGGGCGCGGGGUCCAGCCUUUUCCUCCGCGCCUCACCCCUUCUCCGUUCGCAGAACCGUCCGCCUGCGCCCCCUCCGCUCCCUCCCGCGGGUCCCGCGCCCCUCUCCGCUCGUCCCCUCCUCCACCCAAAGCCCGUUCUGCGCUCGCGCCGCGGUCUCCUGCAGUUCCCAGCGGCCUCUCUGGGGGUCGGACCUGGUCACUGCGCGCACUUAUCUCAGGUGGCGGGGCCCGUGGACGGCGGCGACCCGGAUCCUGUGGCCUGCUUCCUGAGCUGGUGCCGGCGGGUGGGGCUGGAGCUGAGUCCCAAGGUGAGCGAGCGAGCCGGCGGGCGGAGGACCCGCGGCGGGGCGCGGGCUGCCCUGACCAGCCCUCCUCCUGCUCAGGUGGCGGUCAGCCGGCAGGGCACGGUGGCCGGCUACGGCAUGGUGGCCCGGGAGAGCGUGCAGGCCGGAGAGCUGCUGUUCGUGGUGCCGCGGGCCGCGCUCCUGUCGCAGCACACCUGCUCCAUCCGCGGCCUGCUGGAGCGAGAGCGAGUUGCGCUGCAGAGCCAGUCGGGCUGGGUGCCACUGCUGCUGGCGCUGCUCCACGAGCUGCAGGCCCCGGCCUCACGCUGGAGGCCCUACUUUGCGCUCUGGCCCGAGCUGGGCCGCUUGGAGCACCCGAUGUUCUGGCCAGAGGAGGAGCGCCGGUGCCUGCUCCAGGGCACAGGCGUACCUGAGG
rnacentral:sRNA from 1 species